AGUGAACGCUGGCGGUAGGCCUAACACAUGCAAGUCGAACGGCAGCACAGUAAGAGCUUGCUCUUACGGGUGGCGAGUGGCGGACGGGUGAGGAAUACAUCGGAAUCUACUUUUUCGUGGGGGAUAACGUAGGGAAACUUACGCUAAUACCGCAUACGACCUACGGGUGAAAGCAGGGGAUCUUCGGACCUUGCGCGAUUGAAUGAGCCGAUGUCGGAUUAGCUAGUUGGCGGGGUAAAGGCCCACCAAGGCGACGAUCCGUAGCUGGUCUGAGAGGAUGAUCAGCCACACUGGAACUGAGACACGGUCCAGACUCCUACGGGAGGCAGCAGUGGGGAAUAUUGGACAAUGGGCGCAAGCCUGAUCCAGCCAUACCGCGUGGGUGAAGAAGGCCUUCGGGUUGUAAAGCCCUGUUGUUGGGAAAGAAAAGCAGCAGGUUAAUACCCCGCUGUCCUGACGGUACCCAAAGAAUAAGCACCGGCUAACUUCGUG
rnacentral:rRNA from 1 species